UACGAAGGGUGCAAGCGUUACUCGGAAUUACUGGGCGUAAAGCGUGCGUAGGUGGUUUGUUAAGUCUGCUGUGAAAGCCCCGGGCUCAACCUGGGAAUGGCAGUGGAUACUGGCAAGCUAGAGUGCGGGUAGAGGAUCGCGGAAUUCCCGGUGUAGAGGUGAAAUUCGUAGAUAUCGGGAGGAACACCGGUGGCGAAGGCGGCGAUCUCGGGUGCGAUACUGACGCUGAGGUGCGAAAGCGUGGGGGAGCAAACAGG
rnacentral:rRNA from 1 species